CACAUUAAUAAGCAGCAAGAUCUAAUCGGUUAAGAAAAAAAAAUCCUAGCAGCUAAGCCGUAUAAACAACCCUCUCAUUCACAUAUAGCAUAGAUAAUAUUCAUACACAUAAUAAUCCAGGGGAAUGAAGGGACGGGUAAGGUUAUCGUGAAAACCAGUUCUUAGUCGAGUUUCACCACCACAAAACCACGAAAAUAUCAGGCGAAAUAGCAGCUCUUUGGGUUUAUUCUUGGUCGAGGUGAGGUCGAGGGUCAAAGCUCCGGUCGCAGUCGAGGUCUCUGAUACAAAGGUAUUCUGAAGUUAGAAUGCUCGGAAAGUGAAAAAAUGAGGAAAAUAGGCAAUCUUUUCUGAUAAGCAUAAGGACGAACCAUCAACAUGCUCGACGGUCCGUCAAAUCGCCUCGUCAAUAAGUUCCUGCGAAGUAACAUAUCAUCACAGCAUCAUCAGAUCUUCGACGUGCACCGUCGACAUGAUCGACGGUCCGUCGAAGUGCUUCAACGAUGGAGUUCCUGUAGAGUGAAAAAGGCAUACUCAGAUCAUCGAUAUGGUCGUCGAUCAUGUCGACGACCGUCGAAGUACAAAGACGACCUGUCAAAAUGCAAACCGAGCUAGAACAGGAAUGGGAUUGAUUAUUCCGAGUUUGACUUAUAUAAAUACCUAUUUAGGUUUUAUUUUUCAGACAUAUGGAGUUUUAGACUUGUAGUAAUUACUUUUGAGUUGUUAUUGCUUUUGCAGAUUUCCAGACAAUUACAUUCAUUACUUUCAAGUUUUAUUCGUAAGUUCAAUACAAUAAUUCAAUUAUGCGAUCUUCAA